GCCUGGGUGGCUCAGUCGGUUGAGCAUCUGACUUCAGUUCAGGUCAUGAUCUCAUGGUUUGUGGGUUUGAGCCCCAUGUCGGGCU
rnacentral:tRNA from 1 species